GACAGAGGAUGCAAGCGUUGUCCGGAAUGAUUGGGCGUAAAGCGUCUGUAGGUGGCUUUUUAAGUCCGCCGUCAAAUCCCAGGGCUCAACCCUGGACAGGCGGUGGAAACUACCAAGCUGGAGUACGGUAGGGGCAGAGGGAAUUUCCGGUGGAGUGGUGAAAUGCGUAGAGAUCCGGAGGAACACCAAAGGCGAAGGCAGUGUCCUGGGGAGUACCUGACGCUCAGGUGCGAAAGCCAGGGGAGCGAACGGG
rnacentral:rRNA from 1 species